UACAGAGGGUGCGAGCGUUGCUCGGAAUCACUGGGCGUAAAGGGUGCGUAGGCGGGUCUUUAAGUCAGGGGUGAAAUCCUGGAGCUCAACUCCAGAACUGCCUUUGAUACUGAAGAUCUUGAGUUCGGGAGAGGUGAGUGGAACUGCGAGUGUAGAGGUGAAAUUCGUAGAUAUUCGCAAGAACACCAGUGGCGAAGGCGGCUCACUGGCCCGGAACUGACGCUGAGACGCGAAAGCGUGGGGAGCAAACAGG
rnacentral:rRNA from 1 species